rnacentral:rRNA from 1 species
CRGCCCCMGAGUUUGAUCCUGGCUCAGGACGAACGCUGGCGGCSUGCUUAACACAUGCAAGUCGAACGGAAAGGCCUCUUCGGAGGUACUCGAGUGGCGAACGGGUGAGUAACACGUGGGUAAUCUGCCCUGCACUUCGGGAUAAGCCUGGGAAGCUGGGUCUAAUACCGAAUAGGACCAUUUAGCGCAUGCUUUAUGGUGGAAAGCUUUUGCGGUGUGGGAUGGGCCCGCGGCCUAUCAGCUUGUUGGUGGGGUGACGGCCUACCAAGGCGACGACGGGUAGCCGGCCUGAGAGGGUGUCCGGCCACACUGGGACUGAGAUACGGCCCARACUCCUACGGGAGGCAGCAGUGGGGAAUAUUGCACAAUGGGCGCAAGCCUGAUGCAGCGACGCCGCGUGGGGGAUGACGGCCUUCGGGUUGUAAACCUCUUUCAGCAGGGACGAAGCGCAAGUGACGGUACCUGCAGAAGAAGCACCGGCCAACUACGUGCCAGCAGCCGCGGUAAUAC